GCCCAAAACAAAGCCGUGAGAGCUUAUGCUCAAAGUGGACAAUAUCAUACCAUUAUGGAGAGUCGUGUUUGUCUAACAAAUGAGUGAUUGAAAAGCUAUACUUUUCAUCUUCCAUGGAUUGCAAGAUUUGAAUAAUAUGGUUUGAAUGGAAGAUCUAAUCCAGAAUUUGUCCUACAAAUAAGUCAAGAUCUGCUCUCACUUACUGCUGGUAUUUUAUCCCCAACCAUUUGUGGGAACACUACGUUUCCCUUUUCUUUCAAUCCAUAUUGCGAAUAUUUCGAGUGGAAUUCAAAUUGGGAAGAAGAUUAAUCAUCAGUAGCAUCAUUCGUCAUGGUUGAUUGUUUUAUCAUUAUGACUAGUGACGCUCCACACGUCUUAACUUUGUCGAGGCUGAGUCAUGAUGAUCAUUACAUUUGUUACUUUAUGUGCUUUCAUAUACAUGCUCUGAGUACUUCUCCUUCGCACAGAUACUUCUCAAAGACCCUUAACUGGCCUCCAGACAUAUUAUCCUCUUCCUUCUCGGUCUGUUCAGUUAAAAUAUCUACUUGACGUGGAUGCAUUCUUUUACUUGUAAGAUGUUUAGUCAACAUACAAUAAGGUGAAUACAAACUUAAAAUAAAAUUUUUAUGUGCAAUUGCAGGCCAAAUGGAACUGUUGAUCACAUGCUAUACAUUCCAGCUCAUGGUGCCAUUAUUGGAGAGUGGUUUUGCGCGUAGUCCACUUGAUUGGGAAAGGCCACGGCAGGGAAGCCUUCUUGCAAAUGGGUUUGGUGUUGCUGCACCGAUGUUGAGGCUAUUAUGACCAGGUUUUGGUUUACGAAGUUCUAGACAUUGAGGAAUAUCCUUCUGCAGAAGACAACAUAGGGAAUUCAGCCUGGACAUGAUGGUCUGUGUUCACCAGAGUCGGAUGCAUGUUCAGAAUCACCAAAAAGAUACUGUGAACAAUGACUUGAUCCCAUUUGUUGAACAGUCUUGAACUUUCUGAUCCAUGGUUUCUCAAUUCUUCAAUCGUCAUGCGAGCUUCCAGCCCUGAAAUGUAUAGUUAGCAAGUCAAAUUAUUUGCAGA